GUGCACAUCAAAAUUAUAAGAUUUAUAGGUCAUACUUAAAAGAUUAAAGGAAAACUGUAUUUUUGGAUGUAAAACCUUUAUUAAUAGAAUACUUAUUUAAAAUUCAUCAUAAAAUAACCUCUGAUAAUAUCUUCUGCUCACAAAAUCCACCUGAAAAACUAAAGACAUCACGUUGGAAAUACUUUUGAUUAGGAUUGUUGUUGAUCUGUUGGCUUUCUAUUGUUGUGUAAAAAGUUACCUGUAUGGCAUUCAAUCUUAUAACACUUUGCUGCACAUAUAUAAACCAAUUUUUCCAUGAUUUCCAUCUUUCUCCUAGAAUUCAAGACUCUUAGAGGAGGAAACAAUUUUUUACUCAUUUUGGUAGUCAUAGUAACCUGUACAGUAUUGAGGGAAUAAUAGAUAAUUCAUGCUUUUUCAUAAAGGAAGGAAACAAGAAGAGUGAAUGAGAACCUCAGUCCUCAGAACUUCAGUUUUCUGAAUGAAGGUGACAUUAUGUAUUAUUCAGAGUUAACGCAGGACCAAGAUUGCCAUUAACUCUAGUUUUUUUUGCCAGUAUAGCUCAAGGGAAAUCAGGAUGUUAGGAAAACCGACUUUGACGGCGCGUACUGAAACGCUCAGAAUUCUAUGGCAUGGUUCAGCAUGAGAAAGUUGCAGACCUGUGACAAUGUGACAGUGGUCCUACUUCAUGGCGACAGAAUGCAGCUGUGGUGUUCAGAAGAAAGUGCCUUGGCCAGUACUGCUCAACAGUUCACCUGGGAUAGUGUCGGAGGGAAAAGUUACCCACCUGAUAGAUACCUGGCCUUUUCACCCACAUGGGAUGUCAGCAAGGCUAAAAAGCCUGAAAAUCUCCUGUGGUCACUGAUCCACUCCAGAGGAAGCACCAUCAGAUUGAUUCACUGUCUGGAAAGGCAAGCUGUGGUCAGAUGCUAGAGAUCCUUGAAGUCUGCAUAAUGAUGUAGUACAAUUAAGACUGUAGACAAUGGGAGCCACUGAAAAUUCCAGAGCAUCAGUGUGUCAUGUCUGCUUUGACAGAUGUGGUUAGGGUGGAGAAAAGAAGACUCUUGGCAGUGAGACAAGUGAAGAUAGAAAACGAAGCAAGAAGAGGCAAGCAAUUCCGAAGGAGGCGAGAAGUGGAGGGGAGGAUAGACGUGAAGAGCAGUGGUGGGUACGUGGACCUCUCCUUCAUCUCCCCAACUGACUCAUGACCAAGAGUCAAGUUUUCAAGGCUUGACACGUAGAAGGACAAUGUUGGUCCAAAUACUACCAGCCUCAGCAGACUAACAGGAUGCUGAGGAUGGAGAAGAAGAUGAGCUUUGACACAAACUUGGGAGACUUAAACUCUUUCUCCGUUGUUUCACUGAAGAAAGGGCCCCACUUCAAAUUCCUGCAGAGAAAUUUGCAGCUCAUAGCUGCCAGUCUGGGGACACCUACAGAGAGGCAGUGCAUUGAGGUGGCUCCCUGGGUUUGAAACCUGACUUAGAAUUUUUCUAGCUUAAUAGAGAUGUUAAGGACCCUUAACAUCUGUGCCUACAUUUCCUCACCUGUAAAAUUGAAAUAAAAAUGAUGCCCACAUCACAGGGUUGCGAUAGAUGAAAUGCACUGAAACAUAAAAAUACUCAGAAGCAUUCAUAGGGCACAAUAAGUACUUAAUAUGUAGUUGCUAUUCUAUUAUUUUACUGUUUAUGGAUAGCUCAUUCCUCAUUGCCUAGGUCAUAGGUCACAGCCAAACAUCACUGGACUGGGAGUCUGGAAAUCUUGUU
ensembl:lncRNA